rnacentral:ncRNA from 2 species
UACUUAUAAAGAAAGACUGAGGGAAUGGCCCUGUAACGUCUUGGCAACCUCCGCUCCUGCUGCAGGAAUGAAAGGUGCUAAUUCCAGCUCCGAGAGGAGAAAUAUAAGUA